rnacentral:rRNA from 1 species
UACCUGGUUGAUCCUGCCAGUAAUCAUAUGCUUGUCUCAAAGAUUAAGCCAUGCAUGUCUAAGUACAUGCCGAAAUAAGGCGAAACCGCGAAUGGCUCAUUAAAUCAGUUAUGGUUCCUUAGAUCGUUUCUUCCUACUUGGAUAACUGUGGCAAUUCUAGAGCUAAUACAUGCAGUGAGCCUGAAGCCUUUGGGCGACGGGUGCUUUUAUUAGACCAAGAUCGAUCGGGUUUCGGCCCGUAUUGUGUGGUGACUCUGGAUAACUUUGUGCUGAUCGCAUGGCCACGAGCCGGCGACGUUUCUUUCAAGUGUCUGCCUUAUCAACUUUCGAUGGUAGGUUACUUGCUUACCAUGGUUGUUACGGGUAACGGAGAAUCAGGGUUCGAUUCCGGAGAGGGAGCCUGAGAAACGGCUACCACAUCCAAGGAAGGCAGCAGGCGCGCAAAUUACCCACUCCGGCACGGGGAGGUAGUGACGAAAAAUAACAAUACGGGACUCUUUUGAGGCCCCGUAAUUGAAAUGAGUACACUCUAAAUCCUUUAACGAGGAUCAAUUGGAGGGCAAGUCUGGUGCCAGCAGCCGCGGUAAUUCCAGCUCCAAUAGCGUAUACUAAAGCUGCUGCGGUUAAAAAGCUCGUAGUUGGAUCUCAGUUCCAGACGAGUAGUGCAUCUACCCGAUGCGACGGCUCGGACUGAACAUCAUGCCGGUCCUUUCUUGGUGCACUUCAUUGUGUGCCUCGAGAAGGCCGUGCUUUUACUUUGAAAAAAUUAGAGUGCUCAACGCAGGCGAGUCGCCUGAAUAAACUUGCAUGGAAUAAUAGAACAAGACCUCGUUUCUGUUCUGUUGGUUUUUGGAAUACGAGGUAAUGAUUAAGAGGGACAGACGGGGGCAUUCGUAUUGCGGCGCUAGAGGUGAAAUUCUUGGACCGUCGCAAGACGAACUACUGCGAAAGCAUUUGCCAAGAAUGUUUUCUUUGAUCAAGAACGAAAGUCAGAGGUUCGAAGGCGAUCAGAUACCGCCCUAGUUCUGACCAUAAAACGAUGCCAACCAGCGAUCCGCCUGAGUUACUCAAAUGACUCGGCGGGCAGCUUCCGGGAAACCAAAGUGUUUGGGUUCCGGGGGAAGUAUGGUUGCAAAGCUGAAACUUAAAGGAAUUGACGGAAGGGCACCACCAGGAGUGGAGCCUGCGGCUUAAUUUGACUCAACACGGGAAAACUUACCCGGCCCGGACACUCGGGAGGAUUGACAGAUUGAGAGCUCUUUCUUGAUUCGGUGGAUGGUGGUGCAUGGCCGUUCUUAGUUGGUGGAGCGAUUUGUCUGGUUAAUUCCGAUAACGAACGAGACUCUAGCCUAUUAAAUAGGUGCGGGGUUCCCAGCACCUUACAACCUUCUUAGAGGGACAAGCGGCUCCUAGCCGCACGAAACAGAGCAAUAACAGGUCUGUGAUGCCCUUAGAUGUCCGGGGCCGCACGCGCGCUACACUGAAGGAAGCAGCGUGUCUUUAUCCCUGUCUGAAAAGACUGGGUAACCCGUGGAACUUCUUUCGUGAUUGGGAUAGGGGCUUGCAAUUGUUCCCCUUGAACGAGGAAUUCCCAGUAAGCGCGAGUCAUAAAGCUCGCGUUGAUUACGUCCCUGCCCUUUGUACACACCGCCCGUCGCUACUGACCGAUUGAAUGAUUUAGUGAGGUCUUCGGACCGAUGUCCGCGCGGCCUUUCGGUUGCGCCGGUCUGUUGGAAAGAUGACCAAACUUGAUCAUUUAGAGGGAAGUAAAAGUCGUAACAAGGUUUCCGUAGGUGAACCUGCGGAAGGAUCAUUA